UACGUAGGGGGCGAGCGUUGUCCGGAAUCAUUGGGCGUAAAGCGCGUGUAGGCGGCUCGAUAAGUCUGCUGUGAAAGUCCAGGCUCAACCCUGGAAUGCCGGUGGAUACUGUCGAGCUCGAGUCCGGAAGAGGCGAGUGGAAUUCCUGGUGUAGCGGUGAAAAUGCGCAGAUAUCAGGAGGAACACCAAUGGCGAAGGCAGCUCGCUGGGACGUGACUGACGCUGAGACGCGAAAGCGUGGGGAGCAAACAGG
rnacentral:rRNA from 1 species